GGGGUGACUGCUUCCUGCUUAGGGCCAUCCAGAACCGCAUCGGGGCCCCCUGUGGUGCUGUGAUGAAACUCUUGGCCGGAGACCUUGUAUUUGAGCACGUGACCCUCUGCCUGGGAUCUCAUAUUCCGGUCAUGAGGUUGGGAUUCCACAAGGCCAAGAUGUCAGCACUAAGCCCCCAACAAAAUGUGCUUGGCUCCAAAGCUAAGAAGUGGAAGCCUUCCUGUCAUAUCCCUGCCUUCGACCCAGAGUCCCGGAUGCGGGUGGCAUUCAGCAGUGGAUUUUUUAAGUGCAACCCGACAGUCAUCUGAAAGACACAUAUUCCUCCUCUCCCGCCAGCCCCCAAGUCCGCGACUAAAACAUGACAACCAAACCAGAUCUCGUGGGUGCCUUCAACAUCACACCUCUUCGGGUUCUUUUGCAACAUUUCCAGAGAUGCCUGAGCAGAAAUGUGAAUGGGAUUGCACGCCAUCUGGUGGACAUUGGUUCCCAAGUCCUCAGAAUCAAGUUAAGGAACCUGAGGAUCAGAGCCUAAAACUCGGGAAGCCCAUUGUGGUGAGACCACCAGGAUGUGUCCUCUGAGCCCAGCCAGUGAGCUCCCUGGGGAAUGGCCGUCUCACUGCAGUCACCAUCAGUCCCAAGAGUGUGAGUGUUCAGGAUCUGGGCUCUCUGCAGGCCAACCAGUCUUGGCCGGGGGCACUCAUCCAACAGAUGUUUAAUUGAAUUCCUUCCAUGAGCCAGAUUAGGGCCUUAACAUGCACUGUCUUUCUUAAUUUCACGUUGAUCUUACAG
rnacentral:lncRNA from 1 species